GACGAACGCUGGCGGCGUGCUUAACACAUGCAAGUCGAGCGGAAAGGCCCUUUCGGGGGUACUCGAGCGGCGAACGGGUGAGUAACACGUGAGUAACCUGCCCCAGUCUUUGGGAUAACCCUCGGAAACGGGGGCUAAUACCGGAUAUGACCUGGUCUCGCAUGGGAUCGGGUGGAAAGUUUUUUCGGUCUGGGAUGGGCUCGCGGCCUAUCAGCUUGUUGGUGGGGUGAUGGCCUACCAAGGCGACGACGGGAGCCGGCCUGAGAGGGCGACCGGCCACACUGGGACUGAGACACGGCCCAGACUCCUACGGGAGGCAGCAGUGGGGAAUAUUGCACAAUGGGCGCAAGCCUGAUGCAGCGACGCCGCGUGA
rnacentral:rRNA from 1 species